UCCAGGCAACCUUGUGAAGAGCCCUUCCCACUCCCCCAGCCCUCUCUGGCCAACUGAUUGCAGGCAGGGCACAUGGAGAAUGAUUCACCAGCACUCUAACCCCCUCCUGGUGCCUCUUAUCAAACGCCUCUCUGCAGACCUUUGAGACUGACAUCAGCCCAGCUCCCCACACCUGGUUCCAAGCCUGCUCAGAGCUGGUGAAAAAUGUUCUCCUUUGAGUUCUUGACCUCCUGGCUCCCUGGCUUCCCCAGCUUGGCCUGGGGUUCCACCCUGCUGGACUCUCUCUUGCAAGGGCUAAUAGGAGCCUGUGCCGUGUCUGUCCUCUGCAGCCUGGUGAAGAUUUAUCUCUACAUCCAGUGUCUGAAUGACCCGGACAGGCAGAAGGAGAAGGAGACCAUCCGCUCCCAGUGGUCCCUGCUGGAUCACGUCCACCUCUUUCUACUGACGUUGAUCUUCACGGUGGUUGGGUAUCGCGUGGCUGCUUUGGUGGUGCUGGAGUUUUCCCUCAGGGCUGUGUCUAUGCUGCUGUCCCUGAAUAAGGGGGCCCACAGCAGCCAGUUGUACCUAUUGUGCCAGUACUCCCUGGGGUGCGGCAUCUCCUGCAGCCUCAGCUACCUCCUGGAGGGGGCUCCCCACCGCAGCGGCAACCUGCUCCUCAGCCUGGGCCUGGCCGGCCUGAUCACCUGCUACGUCUGGAGGCUGGCCCGGCACGUCUGCACCAUGUACGAGCUCCACAGCAAGGAGCGCUACUGCGGGGUCUGCAUCUUCCUGCUCACCGCCUGGCACGGCAUCCCCGCCCUGCUCUGCAACGCCCUCAAGAUCACCUUCGUGGUGGCUGACCUGGCCGCUGUCGCGCUGAUCAACAGGGAUUUCCUCACCACCUCGGAGGCCAUUCGCUUCUGGACGCCGCUCACCAUCUGCUACACCCUGCUGGUCAUCUACAUGCAAGAGGAGCAGAGGCAUAACCCCAGCGAGCAGAUGGUCUAUCAGACGGUGUUUGUCAGGAUGGGAGGCUUGCUCAUCCUCCUCAUGACGGUGGGCCGGUGGAUGGACAUCAUGAACAUCUUCAUCUCGCUGGUGGGUGAGAUCUGGUGCCUGGUUCGGGCAGGAAUCAUGCUGGACAUCUGCCGGGCGCAGGAUUUUUCUCAAAGGUUCCCAGAAUCCGGUUCCAGGCAGCCCCAGCCUAGGCCUGAGGCCCAUGGCAGAAAAUCCAGCUCCGUGACCAGGUCCUCCAGUGGAGGGGCCGGAGCCGAGAGGUGAGAAGGGGGCUGCCAUGCUCCAGCGAUGGCGAGACAGGCAAAACCCCAGCGACCGGGACUGAAAUGUGACAUUUUAAGCUCCAGGCCGUGCCCGCUGAAGCGGCUUAAUUCACACGUGCUCCAGUAGCAAACCAGACUCGGGGCCGAUCUGCUGAGGACGUUCUCAAAUGGACAGUUGUUUGCACAGUCCCAGGUUAACUACCUAGAUGACGCUUUGCUCCCCUCAACCCCCCACCCCCAACACCCUGCGGUUGGUCGAAUUGCACUGCUCCCUGGAAAUGGGGAGGCCCCCAUGGCCCUCCGGGCUGCAUCGCAUACUGGAGAAUGGGAAACCGUUCCCCCCCCGCACGCCUGGUCUUGAAAGGGUUCACUUUCCCUGCUGGCUCUUUCCAGAUCGUCUCUAGCUUGCCCCGACCAGCAGCUCUCGUGGGCUAGUGAUGCCAGCCUCUCCGGCGGCCUGAGCUUGCAGUGCUCGUGUCAGGACCCAGCUGUCCCUGGAUCAACCCCAAAGCCAAGUGUCUUGCCCACUGAACUGGUGCAUAAGGCCAGUUAUGGAGGUGGGUGGCGGAGAAGAGGCCAUGAUGGACGGGGUGGCUAGGAGAAGCUUGGUCAAAGCCAGGCGGGGUGGCUGCCAUCUGAGGUUUUUGGUGGCCUGGGUGGAAUGAGUUGGUGGCCAGCUGGAUCCAUGCACAGGUGUCCCUAUUGCCUGACUCUCAGUCCCCAUCGGCCCCCUGCUCAGCAGCUGCUAGAGAGUGAAUGGACAUGGGCCUUGCUGUCCUCCUGGAGGUUCCCCCUUCAAGUCAAGGCUGAGGCCCCUUGGCAGGGCAGCAGAGGAGACAAGCUGGGGGAUGGAGGUCCAGGCCUGUUAAUCCAGCACCUACACACUUCCUGUAAAGAAUUCACUCCUAAUUCAUUGCCAAGAAAAUACCCCUCCUCACUGGGUGUUGGUGCAGGUGGGGGCUCCCUCUCAUCUCACAGCAGCAGGCAAGCCCUCCCCUCCGUGUGCACCUCCCCAGCGUCCCUCUGUGCCAGGGGCUGGGGUGUCCCUCAGUACCCCUUAGCAUCUAACUGUGCCGGGGGCAUAGAGCCGUUCCUCAGGGGCUCUGAAGGGGAUGAGCCUGCAGCUGGACUGGAUCUCUGAAUUGCUGCCGUCCUGUGAGGCUGGAGCUGACCUUGAAAUUGAGCAGCCCAUGAUGGGACUGUCCGGACCCCCUGCUCCAGGUUUGCCUCGUCCCCCUGGGCCAUGGGUUUGCGCUGUCCCAUUCAGGCUCUCCCCGACCUUGCACCUUCAGAACCCUUGGGCCACAUCCUCUGGGGCUGUGAUUGCAGUGAGCGCCUGGGCUGGGCUCCAGACGCCGUCCCAUAAUGAGACGUGAGGAGCGGUGCCCAUCAGCUUCCCUGUCUAGUGAGUUCGGUGGAAGAGGGGAAUCCAUGGAGGUUUGUACUGUCAAUUGUAUGGCCAUACGUGAGAAUAAAGUUUAAAACACUGAGCUGGAGGGUGGGUGGCUAGAGCCCUGUCCCUCAUUACUGCGCUUCUGACUGUUUAUCAUUGUCCUCGGGGGGGUCCUGACCUGAUCAGUGGCAAUCGAAGUGACGGGAAAUGUUUGGAGCUACGUGGCCUGAUGUGCUUCAAUCUUCUCUUCACCCCCCACCAGCCUGCCCUGCCCCUGCCCUCCUCCGGCUGAUCGGUAUUUGUAUUUCACUAGUUUUGGCCUAUCCAGCCAAGUAAGAUGAUGGGUGAAGGUAACAUCACGGGCCAGGCCAACAUGCCAGUUCUUGGGCUCCUAUCUUCCACAUCAGGCGGGGGUCCUGCAGAACCGUUUCCACUUCUACCGUAAACCCUGCUGCCACCUGUUGUAAACCAGGACCGGAGCAGGCACGGACUCCAGUAGCGGGCGGCUAGUAGACAGUGCUAGCAAGCCUGGCCUGACUGAUGGGUCUCACGGUGGCACUGCCUGCCUUGGUGAGAUGGGGGCUGCAAGCCAGACCUGGACUGAGGAGGUGUGUUUGGAUCUGGACCAGACUCCAGGAGCGGUCUAACACUGAAUCUGGGUGAGGGGUCUGCAUUUGGAUCUAAAGGAGCCAAAAAUCUCCCAAUCUCAUCUCAUGAAAUUUCAGCUCAGACAGGUAGAAAAUGUCAUAAGAGGCACUGAAGAAAAUAUUGCAAGA